GAUCUCGUCGAUCGAGGUUGGCCCAAAGGUGAGUCCCCGACAACGACAGCACCGUGACUAUCGAUGGUAGAGCUCCCAACGUGCCUCGUCCCCGGUGACGCAUGCUUGUUGUCCACCCGAACCCUGUUGGACCCCCCGUAUCGCUCGAUCGAUGCUCACUUCGUGACCCCAGGUCAGGCGAGAUCACCCGCUGAGUUUAAGCAUAUCAAUAAGCGGAGGAAAAGAAACUUACCAGGAUUCCCCUAGUAACAGUGAGCGAAUCGGAAAGAGCCCAGCUUGAGAAUCGGGUGCCUCCGACAUUCGAACUAUAGUCUGGAGAAGCGUCCUUAGUGGUGGACUCGGCCCGAGUCCCUUGGAAAGGGGCACUGGAGAGGGUGAGAGCCCCGUUAUGCCCAGACCCUGUUGUGCCACGAGGCGCUGUCCCCGAGUCAGGUUGUUUGGGAAUGCAACCCCAAUCGGGUGAUAAAUUCCAUCCAAGGCUGAAUACAGGCGAAAGAUCGAUAGCAACAAGUACCGCGAGGGAAAGAUGAAAAGGACUUUGAAAAAAGAGUCAAAGAGUGCUUGAAAUUGUCAAGAGGGAAGCGGAUGGGUUAGUCAAUCCUAAGAGACGGGGGAAGCCCGUCUGACAGCAUGUCCCGCAUGAGCUUCGAAAGGGAAUCGGGUUAAAAUUCCUGAAUCAGGAUGCAACAACUGACGGUAAUGUUAAGGAGUCCAGAGACGUCGACGGGGGCCUCAGGAAGAGUUAUCUUUUCUAUUUAACGGCCCACCCACCCUGGAAAUGACUCAGUUAGAGGUAGGUCUAGCGACCGAAAGAGCAGCGUACGUCACGUGGUGUCCGGUGCACCCCUGACGACCCAUGAAAAUCUAAAGGAUCGAGUGCCGUCCACGCCUGAUCAUACUCAUAACCGUAUCAGGUCUCCAAGGUGAACAGCCUCUAGUCAAUGGAACAAUGUAGGCAAGGGAAGUCGGUAAAAUGGAUCCGCAACCUCAAGAAAAGGAUUGGCUCUGAGGGCUAGGUACGAGGGUCCCAGUCUCGAACCUGUCAACUGCCGAUGCACUGCUCGAGCUGCUCUCGUGAUGAGAGUGGGUCACCGCGUGUUGGUCGGGGGACGGACUGGGAAUAGCUCCCUCGAGGGCUUUUUCUGGGCAUCGAACAGUCGACUCAGAACUGGUACGAACAAAGGGAAUCUGACUGUUUAAUUAAAACAAAGCAUUAUGAUGUUCCCUGCGGAUGCUGACGUAAUGUGAUUUUCGCCCAAUGCUCUGAAUGCCAAAGUGAAGAAAUUCAACCAAGCACGGGUAAAUGGCGGGAGUAACUAUGACUUUCUUAAGGCAGCCAAAUGCCUCAUCAUCUUAUUAGUGACGCGUAUGAAUGGAUUAACAAGAUUCCCACUGUCCCUAUCUACUAUCCAAUGAAACGACAGCCAAGGGAAUGCGAUUGGCGGAAUUAACGGGGAAAGAAGACCCUGUUAAGCUUGACUCUAGUAUGACUUUGUGAAAUGACUUGAGAGGUGUAGGAUAAAUGGGAGUCCCUGAGCGAAAUUGAAAUACCACUACUUUUAACGUUAUUUUACUUAUUUCGUGAAUCGAGGGUGGGGCACGACCUCUUCUUUUGGACCCAAGGCCAGCCUCACCCAGGUGGAAGACAUUGUCAGGUGAGGAGUUUGGCUAGGGUGGCACAUCUGUUAAAAGAUAAUGCACAUGUCCUAAGGUGAACUCAACGAGAAUAGAAAUCUCGUGUGGAACAAAAGGGUAAAAGCUCAUUUGAUUAUGAUUUCCAGUACGAAUACGAAUCGUGAAAGCGUGGCCUAUCGAUCCUUUAGACUUUUUGUAUUUGAAGCUAAAGGUGUCAGAAAAGUUACUACAGGGAUAACUGGCUUGUGGCAGCCAAGCGUUCAUAGCGACAUUACUUUUUGAUCCUUUGAUGUCGGCUCUUCUUAUCCUUGUGAAGCAGAAUUCAUCAAGUGUUGGAUUGUUCACCCACCAAUAGGGAACGUAAGUUGGGUUUAGAGCAUCGUGAGACAGGUUAGUUUUACCCUACUGAUGGUGGCAUCAUGACAAUAAUUCAACCUAGUAUGAGAGCAACCAUAACCG
rnacentral:rRNA from 1 species